rnacentral:sRNA from 1 species
GUUUGCACUUGUCGGGGAAGGGUGAGAACCUUCGAUUAAGGUUCGACUCGAGCGAAAGCGAGAGAACGUUGCCAACGGCAACGGCCCGUAGGGUGAGGAGCGAAGCGACGAAUAAUCCUUCCCCCACCCCCA